rfam:Canis lupus familiaris chromosome 2, whole genome shotgun sequence.
GCCUGGUUGGCUCAGUGGUUGAGCAUCUGCCUUUGGCUCAGGGAAUGAUCCUGGGGGUCUGGGAUCGAGUCCCACAUUGGGCU